CCUACGGGGGGCUGCAGUAGGGAAUAUUGGGCAAUGGACGAAAGUCUGACCCAGCCAUGCCGCGUGCAGGAUGACUGCCCUAUGGGUUGUAAACUGCUUUUCUAUGGGAAGAAACACUCAUACGUGUAUGAACUUGACGGUACCAUAGGAAUAAGGAUCGGCUAACUCCGUGCCAGCAGCCGCGGUAAUACGGAGGAUCCCGGCGUCAUCCGGUUUAAAGGGGUUUAAAGGGUGCGUAGACGGACUACGUGAAAUCUUGCGGCUCAACCGUAAAAGUGCCUGUGAAACUGGUAGUCUUGAGUUCGGUCGAGGUGGAUGGAAUGUGUCAUGUAGCGGUGAAAUGCUUAGAUAUGACCCAGAACACCAAUUGCGAAGGCAGUUCACUAGACCGAUACUGACGCUGAGGCACGAAAGCGUGGGGAGCGAACAGGAUUAGAUACCCGGGUAGUC
rnacentral:rRNA from 1 species